AUAUUUUCUCAAUCACAAUAUCAGAGCUUAGUUCUUUGAGGCAGAGAGUUGACUACCCCUUUCCUUGGAGAUACUUGAGCGUUCUAAGGGUUGCGGAUUACCCUCUCUUGGACUGAUAUUAAUUCCUUCUUUUUGUUUAGCAUAGCUAGUAGAAAAGACUUUUAACAUCGAUUUCAGAGGUUUGCCUUCUUGAUAGAGUGCGGAUUACCCCUCUUCUCGAAAGCAUUGAGGC
rnacentral:lncRNA from 1 species